rnacentral:tRNA from 1 species
GUCUCGGUAGUGUAAGGGAUAGAGCACGGUUCCCGGAAAGUAUAUGUACGGGUUCAAGUCCCGUCCGAGAAG